CUCUCUCCAUUUACCUUUCGUAUUCUCUCUCUUUACACCUCCCUUUCUUUCUCGCUCCGUUUGGGUUCUCACAGCCAAUGGACGGGCUCCAGCAGCCAGCUCUCCACCCCAAUUCCAAGCAGUCCCCACCUCCACCCCCAACAGCCCAGGCAUCCACCGCAAGCAGAAGGAUCUCUACCUGCCCCUAUCUCUGGAUGAUGAUGAUUCUCUUGGGGAGUCCAUGUAGAGCCUCCUGUCUGUCAGCUGCUGCCUGCCUACCCGUCUCCCCCUGGCCUGCCACUCGGAGGUAUCUCUGGUGCUCUCCACCUUCACAAACGGCCAGCGUCCUCUAGUGUACUAUCCGGGAGGACUUCUCCAUUUGAUCUCUCCCUGGUGCCACGUGCUAUGUCUAUCUGACCUUGGCCACCACGGCUGUUCCACCUUUUGCUGCUUGAGAAUUCACCACUAGAUCUUGUUUUUUAUAUCCUAUGUUGUUAAGAAUGUAUAUGCUGGGCGUAUACGACAAUGAUGUACGAAUUACUGCAUCUAACAAAUUCGCCAAAUCCUUCUAUUGUGUGAAAGUCCAAUGGUUCCUCUUCUGCUCUCAGAAGGGGCACAUCAUUUACUAACAAGCAAUUUCAAAGAUGCAGUUCCCACAAUGUAACUACAAAAGUGUAUUUUUCCCCAGUUGAAAACCAUGCAUUCUGAUAUAGGGCAAAUCACACAUUUCUACGAUUUUCCCAAUUCAAGUGCACAAUUCCAAGCAGCAAAUGGACUAUUUCUCUGGGGUGUAGUAGUCAGUAGUCAAGUUUUGCUCAUAAUGUCCCUCUUUGUCCUCUCUCUUUCUGUGCUAUGGUUCAAGCUGUUAAAAGUAAUGAGAACAUUUUUAGGGGAAGGCGCUUUAGCCGUGAGAGGUGAAUGUCCUCCUUUUCAUCUACUGUAAAUACUGUGUAUAGCCAUUGCAACAUCCCAGCUAAUGCCUAACAUUCAUAACUAUGCUUUCAUAAAACGUCAGUACAACGCCUGCCAAACGUUGAGUCAACAUAACAUGUUUUCUGUGCAUCAUCUAUCUAUGAGGUCUUCAAAAACUGCAAGGCACAGUGGAGCCAAGCAGCUUUGAAACCGUGGGCAUAUAGAGUAGGGGUACUGGGGGAAGUCCUAUUAGUGUGUACAAACCAACCAAAGCCAGAAAAAUAUUGGCCCUUUUUAAAACAAACAAGCACAUCCUUUUUGGUUUUUAUUAAAUAACAGUUUAGGAUUCUUAAAUGUGUUUUGGUGAUGAUUAUUUGAACUCCUUUUUGUGACUGAUUCUAAGAUGGAGACGUCAAUGGAGAUGUGAUGAAGCCAGGUGUACUUAUAUUGAGGCAAGUUUAGAAUAAAUGAUCCUUACAAUAAAAAAAUGUCAAAGCCAAAGUAUAUAUUGUAUCAAGCAAAGUGGAAAUCUAAAAUGUAGAUCAUCUGUAGUUCCCCCAGUGGAGACGUACCUGUCUGCUACUGUACUGUACUGUCUGCUUGUUACUGGGGCCUCCCAUGAGACCAUUCUAACCAGACCAUGUCCAUGUAGGGUAAAUAGAUUUUCACCAGCACAGAAAACAGUAAGUAGAGCUUCUCACAUUUUGCAUGGCUAGAUCUUUUUUCUUAGUGCUUAUUGAUUGAAUACAAAGUUUAGAUAGGAGGAAAUUGAAUUGUUUGUUCGGGGGAAAAAAGUAUUAUUAAAAAAAACAAAGUAAUAUAUAUGUCUAAAACAUUGUUCCUUUUCUUGACGAAUGACACAUGAAUGGUUAUAGUAACGUCAUGUUCCUAGAGAGGAUGUCCGGCGAAAUCUGAUUAACACAUCGUUGUGUUAUAGUGCAGGCGUAGGGACAUUUUUCUGUGGCAGUCGUCCCAAAGAAUAGUGUGAAAUACUAGACCAAGUAUUACGUAUGUAAGGUAUUUACGUAUGUAAAGUGAUCCAGUGUGAACCUCUCUCUGGAUCUGACCCGAAUCGGACCCAAAUGAGCAGCACAGCACACUCUCGACUACUUACACCCGCCAUCUGCAGGGAGUGAUGUCACUGUGAUGUCAGCACUACAGCUGCAUGUCCACUUUUACAUCUUCUGGGAAUCAACACUUUGUAAAAUAAAAGUCUUUUCUGGAGAAUUCAGUUCUACUUUAUCUCACCAGCUGUUCAAUAUCUUGUCUCUUUGCCCCAGAUUUUCUACAGCUUAACAUUAACAGUGUCAGUCGGUUGUUUUGUGUGAAGCCGCCACCACCAUAUAAUACAGGAGGUGUGGGCCAAACUCUCACCUCCAGUGGUGCCUUUUUUUUUUUGAUUGCCGUCUUUUGAUAUAAAAAAACAACAAAAAAACAGGAAAACUAAGACAUGUCCUCUUUGUUAACAAACUGUUUGUAAAGCAUUUUUAAAUGUCUUGAAUUGUAGAGCUGCCAUCAGCGCAGUGGGAUCUCUCAUACAUUGUUUUGUAGAAUGCCAGGGUAACUAUAUCAUAGUGCAAACGUACUCUCUUUCUGUUCUCUUUGAAUGCAUCUCUGAUGGAAUGACUUGGGGUUACUGGGAAAUGUACAACGUCCUCUUUAAUGGUGUUUUUGCAAUGUCACAGUGGCUUGUUUCAGUGCUUCACUCUAUGUAUUAACCAAUUCCCUUUUUCAAUUAAAAGAGUUGUAUUCCACCUCC